rnacentral:rRNA from 1 species
UACAGAGGUCUCAAGCGUUGUUCGGAUUCAUUGGGCGUAAAGGGUGCGUAGGCGGCGCGGUAAGUCGGGUGUGAAAUCUCGGAGCUUAACUCCGAAACUGCAUUCGAUACUGCGCAGCUGGAGUCUCGGAGAGGAUAGCGGAAUUCUCGGUGUAGAGGUGAAAUUCGUAGAUAUCGAGAGGAACACCGGUGGCGAAGGCGGCUAUCUGGACGGUGACUGACGCUGAGACGCGAAAGCGUGGGGAGCAAACAGG